AAAAGCAGUCGGUUAAUACCCGAUUGUUCUGACGGUACCCAAAGAAUAAGCACCGGCUAACUUCGUGCCAGCAGCCGCGGUAAUACGAAGGGUGCAAGCGUUACUCGGAAUUACUGGGCGUAAAGCGUGCGUAGGUGGUGGUUUAAGUCUGUUGUGAAAGCCCUGGGCUCAACCUGGGAAUUGCAGUGGAUACUGGGUCACUAGAGUGUGGUAGAGGGUAGCGGAAUUCCCGGUGUAGCAGUGAAAUGCGUAGAGAUCGGGAGGAACAUCCGUGGCGAAGGCGGCUACCUGGACCAACACUGACACUGAGGCACGAAAGCGUGGGGAGCAAACAGGAUUAGAUACCCUGGUAGUCCACGCCCUAAACGAUGCGAACUGGAUGUUGGGUGCAAUUUGGCACGCAGUAUCGAAGCUAACGCGUUAAGUUCGCCGCCUGGGGAGUACGGUCGCAAGACUGA
rnacentral:rRNA from 1 species